GCUGGAGGACUGAGUUGGAUGAGGUAAGAUUUUGCUGAUAUGUUCCUAGAAAAAAGGGUUGGCAAGAACAGCCCUCACUGGAGACUAUCACAGGGCUGACUGUUCUACCCAACACUA
ensembl:scaRNA